rnacentral:rRNA from 1 species
AUUGAACGCUGGCGGCAUGCCUUACACAUGCAAGUCGAACGGUAACAGGUCUUCGGAUGCUGACGAGUGGCGAACGGGUGAGUAAUACAUCGGAACGUGCCUAGUAGUGGGGGAUAACUACUCGAAAGAGUGGCUAAUACCGCAUGAGAUCUACGGAUGAAAGCAGGGGAUCGCAAGACCUUGUGCUACUAGAGCGGCCGAUGGCAGAUUAGGUAGUUGGUGGGAUAAAAGCUUACCAAGCCGACGAUCUGUAGCUGGUCUGAGAGGACGAUCAGCCACACGGGGACUGAGACACGGCCCAGACUCCUACGGGGGGCAGCAGUGGGGAAUUUUGGACAAUGGGCGCAAGCCUGAUCCAGCAAUGCCGCGUGCAGGAUGAAGGCCUUCGGGUUGUAAACUGCUUUUGUACGGAACGAAAAGCCCUGGGUUAAUACCCUGGGGUCAUGACGGUACCGUAAGAAUAAGCACCGGCUAACUACGUGCCAGCCGCCGCGGUAAGAC